UACGUAGGGGGCUAGCGUUGUCCGGAAUCAUUGGGCGUAAAGAGCGCGUAGGCGGCUAGAUAAGUCCGGUGUGAAAGUCACAGGCUCAACCUGUGAAUGCCGCUGGAAACUGUCUGGCUAGAGUCCGGAAGGGGCGAGUGGAAUUCCUGGUGUAGCGGUGAAAUGCGCAGAUUUCAGGAGGAACACCAAUGGCGAAGGCAGCUCGCUGGGACGGUACUGACGCUGAGGCGCGAAAGCGUGGGGAGCAAACAGG
rnacentral:rRNA from 1 species